rnacentral:rRNA from 1 species
UACGUAGGGUGCAAGCGUUGUCCGGAAUUAUUGGGCGUAAAGAGCUCGUAGGCGGUCUGUCGCGUCUGCUGUGAAAACUCAGGGCUUAACCCUGAGCUUGCAGUGGGUACGGGCAGACUAGAGUGCGGUAGGGGAGACUGGAAUUCCUGGUGUAGCGGUGAAAGUGCGCAGAUAUCAGGAGGAACACCGGUGGCGAAGGCGGGUCUCUGGGCCGUAACUGGACGCUGAGGAGCGAAAGCGUGGGGAGCGAACAGG